UUGGGAUCGCGUUAAUAAGGCGUGACCAUGCGUUUAUUUUAUUUAUACGGGAUGUCACUAGCAGGGCUCUGUACCUUACCGCCGAUUUGCUACCGCUACACACAUUCAAGCUGACGAGGAUUAAGUUGGCUUCCUAUUCAAAUUUUGCUUUCCACCUUAAAUCGUCCGGCAGUUCCGUUCAGGCCGCGCAGUCCACGGUUCGGGCGCCUGGAGCGACACAACACGAGUGUUCUAGGAUUUAAGGUGGAGCGGAAAUUCGAAGAACAAGCUGAUUUCAUCUUCCUGCUCAGAGGUGGAUCCCGGGAGUCAAUGACCUGUUCUGUGGUAAUCCCUCUCCUGUUGGAAACCCCUCUGUUCUGCUGGAGUUAAACCUUCUUGGCCUCCUCUUGAGAAGAGAUGGAAAGGAGACAGCAGGGGCUGCCUGGUUGCCUAGUUACAUCUGUCAGAAUGGGCUAGGUAAACAUAAUCUGUUUGUGAAGUCACUUGGACUUGAGGCUUGACUGAAUGAACCUGCCUUUUAUUGUUAAAGCUUCAGUUCAGCUGUGAUCUUUAACAGCCUUUGUUUGAACAAACUUUGUGACUGACUACAAAUGAGCUAUAGGUUGUGGAUGAUGAGUAGAAUCGUACUGACUGCAGCUCUUUGACCGGGUGAGAUGAUUGAGCUGUCUAGCAUGGUCUUAUUAGGCUUAAAAUUGCCUUUAUGUCUUUACUGUAGUCUUUAUGAUCAGCUUAAAGCAAUGAUUUGGUUACUUUUCACAACUCUAUUCGCUGCUUUCCACUAGGCAAAUCUGGUACUUGGUACUAUUUUCGGUACCACAUCCGUCAGGAUUCCAAGCGUGCUGAGCCGAUACCAGAAGGUGACGUGAAAUGCAACUAAUUGGUCAGAGAGAAUUGCUAAACUUGUAUGCUAAUGUUAGCUACCAAGUUAGCAUAUCUUGUGUGGCCUUUGAGCAGCGAGAAUCAUCUCGUUGUCUGGACUCUGAUGUAAUAUUUCCCAGACUCAGACUUUUUCAGAAGUAUUUUAUCUGGCUGCUUCUUCUGAAAAAAAAAAAAAGUCUCCUUUAUGUCUUGGCAGUUUCUUGUAGCGUUGCUAUGACGACAAGCUACAUUGAGGGGGGUACUAUAUCUGCAGUAACAAAGCGAAGUAGCUGGUACAAAAUACCAGUAGAGUCAAGUUGAGUCAUGGCAUGCUGUAGAAAAGCAGCUUUAAGUACUUUCUAAUGUCAAAUCUGUCUUUGCUGAUCAUUUGACAUCAGGACUGUACAGUAUAACAGUUUGGUUGGUACAGUAUCGAAUGUUUCCCCCUUGACGAACUGCUGAGCAUCUGCUGAACCAUAGUCAUGCUAGCUGCGAUAUGUGUUUAGUUCUGCUGUUGAUGGUAAACAAAGGGCCAUACAAUUUACAGCAUGCCCAGAAAUCUUGAUCCUGAUUUAACUUUAGUAGAAUUAAUUGAUUGAAUCAAAUAUACAUCAGAACACCCUUAGCAUUGCCUUUAGGAAACACACUAUGUUGUUUCCUGUCUAGUAAUUUGACUCCAGCCAUACAUUCAUUAAUGCUGGUGUGGGUAUCCUCACUCUAAAAGAUGCCAAAAAACACUAAUAGCGUUCCUUUGUGGGAGAUCUGAGUUUAAAACGAUUAUCUGUUUAAACCUUUUACAUGAUGCUUUUCUUUUUUCCACUAUUAAAAUGACAAUCUGUCACACA